GUGCUGGUCUGCCGAAAGCAAGAACCAGUUAAAAGGGAAGCAGGUUUGAAUCCUGCACGAUCUCGUCACUGUGUUUGGGAAGUCUUUGCCAUGUAUGCCACUGGAUUUUUCUGGGAAGGUUUGGCAAAGGUGAUGAUCCUUCAGUCAGGAAACCUGCCGUUUAUAAUA
rnacentral:ncRNA from 1 species